CCAGUAGCGUAUAUUAAAGUUGUCGCAGUUAAAAAGCUCGUAGUUGAAUUUCGGGAUCAAUAUAUCGGUCGUGCCUUGGUACGUACUGGUAUCAUUGGUUUCUCCUUUCUGACGAACCAUGAUGUCAUUAAUUUGGUGUUAUGGGAAGUUAGGACUGUUACUUUGAAAAAAUUAGAGUGUUUAAAGCAGGCUUUAGCUUGAAUACAUUAGCAUGGAAUAAUGAAAUAGGACGUUCGAACCUAUUUUGUUGGUUUCUAGGAUCAACGUAAUGAUUAAUAGGGAUAGUUGGGGGCAUUAGUAUUCAAUUGUCAGAGGUGAAAUUCUUGGAUUUAUUGAAGACUAACUACUGCGAAAGCAUUUGCCAAGGAUGUUUUCAUUAAUCAAGAACGAAAGUUAGGGGAUCGAAGACGAUCAGAUACCGUCGUAGUCUUAACCAUAAACUAUGCCGACUAGGGAUCGGAUGAUGUUAAUUUUUUAAUGACUCAUUCGGCGCCUUACG
rnacentral:rRNA from 1 species